rnacentral:rRNA from 1 species
UACGAAGGGGGCUAGCGUUGUUCGGAAUCACUGGGCGUAAAGGGCGCGUAGGCGGCCGCUCAAGUCGGGGGUGAAAGCCUGUGGCUUAACCACAGAAUUGCCUUCGAUACUGUUUGGCUUGAGACCGGAAGAGGUUAGUGGAACUGCGAGUGUAGAGGUGAAAUUCGUAGAUAUUCGCAAGAACACCAGUGGCGAAGGCGGCUGACUGGUCCGGUUCUGACGCUGAGGCGCGAAAGCGUGGGGAGCAACAGGG